UACGAAGGGUGCAAGCGUUAUUCGGAAUUACUGGGCGUAAAGCGUGCGUAGGUGGUUCGUUAAGUCUGAUGUGAAAGCCCUGGGCUCAACCUGGGAAUGGCAUUGGAUACUGGCGACCUAGAGUGCGGUAGAGGGGUGUGGAAUUCCCGGUGUAGCAGUGAAAUGCGUAGAUAUCGGGAGGAACAUCUGUGGCGAAGGCGGGUUGCUGGGCUGACACUGACGCUGAUGCGCGAAAGCCAGGGGAGCGAACGGG
rnacentral:rRNA from 1 species